rnacentral:rRNA from 1 species
UACGGAGGGUGCAAACGUUGCUCGGAAUCAUUGGGCGUAAAGCGCACGUAGGCGGCCUGAUAAGUCGGGUGUGAAAGCCUUGGGCUCAACCCAGGAAGUGCACUCGAAACUGUCAGGCUUGAAUAUGGAAGAGGGUCGCGGAAUUCCCGGUGUAGAGGUGAAAUUCGUAGAUAUCGGGAGGAACACCAGUGGCGAAGGCGGCGACCUGGGCCAAUAUUGACGCUGAGGUGCGAAAGCGUGGGGAGCAAACAGG